UACGUAGGCAGCGAGCGUUGUUCGGAAUUACUGGGCGUAAAGAGUGUGUAGGCGGUGCUCCCAGUCUGUUGUGAAAUCUCCCGGCUUAACUGGGAGGGUGCAGCGGAAACUAGAGUGCUAGAGGGUGGGAGAGGUAAGCGGAAUUCCUGGCGUAGCGGUGAAAUGCGUAGAUAUCAGGAGGAACACCUGUGGUGUAGACAGCUUACUGGACCACUCCUGACGCUGAGACACGAAAGCGUGGGUAGCAAACAGG
rnacentral:rRNA from 1 species